UGNCGGAUUCCAGGGAUACUUACACAUGCAAGUCGAACGAUGAACCACUUCGGUGGGGAUUAGUGGCGAACGGGUGAGUAACACGUGGGCAAUCUGCCCUGCACUCUGGGACAAGCCCUGGAAACGGGGUCUAAUACCGGAUACUGAUCCGCCUGGGCAUCCAGGCGGUUCGAAAGCUCCGGCGGUGCAGGAUGAGCCCGCGGCCUAUCAGCUUGUUGGUGAGGUAACGGCUCACCAAGGCGACGACGGGUAGCCGGCCUGAGAGGGCGACCGGCCACACUGGGACUGAGACACGGCCCAGACUCCUACGGGAGGCAGCAGUGGGGAAUAUUGCACAAUGGGCGCAAUCCUGAUGCAACGACGCCUCGUGAGGGAUGACGGCCUUCGGGUUGUAAACCUCUUUCAGCAGGGAAGAAACGCAAGUGACGGUACCUGCUUAAUAA
rnacentral:rRNA from 1 species